GACGAAGGGGGCUAGCGUUGUUCGGAAUUACUGGGCGUAAAGCGAGUGUAGGUGGUUGUCCAAGUUGGAUGUGAAAGCCUUGAGCUCAACUCAAGAAAUGCAUUCAGGACUGGGCGACUAGAGGACCGGAGAGGAUAGUGGAAUUCCCAGUGUAGUGGUGAAAUACGUAGAGAUUGGGAGGAAUACCAGCGGCGAAGGCGGCGGCCUGGACGAGCACUGACACUGAACUACGAAAGCGUGGGGAGCAAACAGG
rnacentral:rRNA from 1 species